rnacentral:tRNA from 1 species
GAGAAGUUGGCUCAGUGGUAGAGUGCUUGCCUUGCAUGCAUGAGAUCCUGAGUUUGAUUUCUCA